rnacentral:rRNA from 1 species
GAUCCUGGCUCAGGAUGAACGCUAGCUACAGGCUUAACACAUGCAAGUCGCGGGGCAGCAUGAAGUCGGCUUGCUGACUUUGAUGGCGACCGGCGCACGGGUGAGUAACGCGUAUCCAACCUGCCUGUUACCACGGCACAGCCCGUCGAAAGGCGGAUUAAUGCCGUAUGUGGUCCUUUGUCGGGCAUCUAAUUAGGACUAAAGGUUACGGUCGGUAACGGGAGUGGGAGUGCGUCCGAUUAGCUAG